GGUGCGGUGGCUGAGUGGUAAAGCGUUUGGCUUAAGAACCGGUGGUCCCAGAUUCGAAUUCUAGUGAUGCCU
rnacentral:tRNA from 1 species